GGGUUCAUGACUCACCCCCUCCCUCGCAGCCAGCUUUUCCAGAGUCAGCUCCUGAGUCAGGACCACGCCCUUCCAGCCCUGAGGAUACAGACGGGGCUUCAUCCAGACUGGGCUUCAAAGCUUCGGCAGCGGUCCAGCAAAGAGCAGAAUGGCCCAAGUAGAAAAGUUUCGGUUCCAAGGACAUGCAGUGUAUUCACAUAAUUCAACCUGCGCGAAGGCCAGAGAAGAAUAACUGGGAGGUGAAACAAGAAGCUCUAUGACGCAGUUGAUCGAAAAUGACACAGACACAGAAAAGUCAGGACUCAGCCCCCUCCAGUGCCUCCACCUGCUGCCCACGGCCAGAGUGCAGGUGAAGGGUUUCCCCUGGGGCUUGAUCCUAACUAAACCCCGGAAGACGUUUGGAACUCUUUUUCCACACCUACUCUAAUCGUGGCCUGUUAAUGAUCACACUAAAAUCAUCAGUAACUUUGAGCUUCUACUGAAAACCUCUGUCUUCUCAGCUGCCUCCUUUUCUUCCCCCGCACCUCAGUCACCUUCGUUCCACGAGGUUUCUUGGGCUCAUACUGUUAUGGCAUGUUCUAGAAUUGAGUUGGAUGGGACCCACUCUGUCCCUCCCCCUUCCCAGCACUUACCAAUAUCAACAAUUAUGCUGUUUGUUCACUCAUUAAUUGGCCGUGUACCUCUCAACCUGCCUUCCAAAUUUCAGUUCAAUAAAGGAAGAUUCUAGUCUGUC